rnacentral:rRNA from 1 species
AGAGUUUGAUCCUGGCUCAGGAUGAACGCUGGCGGCGUGCCUAACACAUGCAAGUCGAACGAAGCGGCUUUAUUGAAGUUUUCGGAUGGAUUUAAAGCUGACUUAGUGGCGGACGGGUGAGUAACGCGUGGGUAACCUGCCUUGUACAGGGGGAUAACAGUUAGAAAUGACUGCUAGUACCGCAUAACCCGCUAAGGUCGCAUGACCUGGACGGAAAAGAUUUAUCGGUACAAGAUGGACCCGCGUCUGAUUAGCUAGUUGGUGAGGUAAUGGCCCACCAAGGCGACGAUCAGUAGCCGGCCUGAGAGGGUGAACGGCCACAUUGGGACUGAGACACGGCCCAAACUCCUACGGGAGGCAGCAGUGGGGAAUAUUGCACAAUGGGGGAAACCCCGAUGCAGCAACGCCGCGUGAGUGAAGAAGUAUUUCGGUAUGUAAAGCUCUAUCAGCAGGGAAGAAAAUGACGGUACCUGACUAAGAAGCCCCGGCUAACUACGUGCCAGCAGCCGCGGUAAUACGUAGGGGGCAAGCGUUAUCCGGAUUUACUGGGUGUAAAGGGAGCGUAGACGGUUGUGCAAGUCUGAAGUGAAAGCCCGGGGCUCAACCCCGGGACUGCUUUGGAAACUGUAUAACUAGAGUGCAGGAGAGGUAAGCGGAAUUCCUAGUGUAGCGGUGAAAUGCGUAGAUAUUAGGAGGAACACCAGUGGCGAAGGCGGCUUACUGGACUGUAACUGACGUUGAGGCUCGAAAGCGUGGGGAGCAUACAGGAUAGAUACCUGGUAGUCCACGCUGUAGACGAUGAAUACUAGCUGUUGAUGAGCAGAGUUCAUUGCUGGCGCAGCUCACGCAAUAAGUAUUCCAUCUGGGGAGUACGUUCGCAAGAAUGAAACUCAAAGGGAUUGACGGGGACCCGCACAAGCGGUGGAGCAUGUGGUCUAAUUCGAAGCUACGCGAAGAACGAUACCUGGUCUUGACAUCACGAUGACACGACUCUUAACCGAGUCUUAUCUUCGGAGCAUCGGAGACAGAUGGUGCAUGGUUGUCGUCAGCUCGUGUCGUGAGAUGUUGGGUUCAGUCCCGCAACGAGCGCAACCCUUAUAUUUAGUAGCCAGCGGUCCGCCCGGGCACUCUAGAGAGACUGCCAGGGAUAAAUUGGAGGAAGGUGGGGAUGACGUCAAAUCAUCAUGCCCCUUAUGAUCAGGGGUACACACGUGCUACAAUGGAGUAAACCAAAGGGAAGCAGAGCCAUGAGCCCGAGCAAAUCUCAAAAAUCACGUCUCAGUUAGGAUUGUAGUAUGCAAUUCGACUACAAGAAGUUGGAAUCGUUAGUAAUCGCGAAUCAGAAUGUCGCGGAGAAUACGUUCACCGGGUCCUGUACACGCCGCCCGUCA